GGUGGAUAUCGGUAAGUAAAUUUCUACAGCAAUUGUGAAUAUGGAUGAAGAGAGAUUCAUAAUUCAUUUUUGGGGCGCUUCAUAAGCUUGCUGUUCGGUGUGAGCCAAGGCUGUGUGUUGAAGACUGUUCUUUGACCUAUAAUGGUUUUUCUUAUACUUUGAUGGAGAGCGGUCUCAUCGACACUCACAACACAUCAUCUUAUAUAAAUUUGUUAUUGUAAGCAGGUCAUUGUUUAAACCCUUGUUUUUGUUUAUUUCAACAAGCAGUAAAAGUAUCCUGCUGCUAUUUAA
rnacentral:lncRNA from 1 species